AGCCUGGGAGGAAAUACAGAAAUGAACAAUCAAGUGCAAUAAAAAUAAUACAGAUGUUAAUAAGUACCAAAUUACAAGCAAGCCAGAGACAUCAAUCUGGGCUUCCGACAAACUACCAGCUGCUGCCCCAGAAAGAGAACUCAAAGAAGAAGCAGGUUAGGCAGAGGCCUGUUGCUGAAGGCUACCGGAAUCUCAGGUGAUCCUCCCCGAUCUACACUGGGGAGAAGACGC
rnacentral:lncRNA from 1 species